GGGCCCGCACAAGCGGUGGAGUAUGUGGUUUAAUUCGAUGCAACGCGAAGAACCUUACCAGGGUUUGACAUCCUGCGAAUCUCUUGGAAACAGGAGAGUGCCUUCGGGAACGCAGUGACAGGUGGUGCAUGGCUGUCGUCAGCUCGUGUCGUGAGAUGUUGGGUUAAGUCCCGCAACGAGCGCAACCCACGUCUUUAGUUGCCAGCAUUUAGUUGGGCACUCUAGAGAGACUGCCGGUGAUAAACCGGAGGAAGGUGUGGAUGACGUCAAGUCAUCAUGCCCCUUACAUCCUGGGCUACACACGUGCUACAAUGGCGCAUACAGAGGGCAGCCAACUUGCGAGAGUGAGCGAAUCCCAAAAAGUGCGUCGUAGUCCGGAUCGGAGUCUGCAACUCGACUCCGUGAAGUCGGAAUCGCUAGUAAUCGUGGAUC
rnacentral:rRNA from 1 species